AUGUUUGAGCAGUUUGGGCAUAUUCUCUAUGAGUGCGGCGCGUACCAAGUGGAGGAGCUCGAGAAAGGGAAAUUGUAUCUUGCAAUUCAUAUGGAAGCCGCACGGAGAGAAAAAUGGUGUAGGGUAUCAUAUAAGGUGAAUGUUCUUGAAGGAGGUGAGGAAUUUGACUGCGAGUGCGGGCAAUUUGCACACAUGGGGCUCCGUUGCAGCCAUGUUCUGAAGAAAAUACCACAGAAGCACAUUGUCAAACGGUGGACCAAGGACGCGCGUGACGUAUUACCACCUCACCUUACUCAAUAUCAAAGAGAUAAUGCACAUAAAAAUCCAUUCAGCUUCAGGCAUUUUAAUAUGUAUAUGCAUGCCAUGGAGUUGGUGCGGAUGGGUGAUGCAAGUGUCGAAGCAUAUGAGAAAUUCAUGGUUCUCAUUAAGAACUGCAUGGUGGAAAUGCAACCAUUUGCAGAAAUUAGGGAUGGCUGGGUUUGGAGGACAGGGUAG
rnacentral:rRNA from 1 species